rnacentral:rRNA from 1 species
AGGAUUAGAUACCCUGGUAGUCCACGCCGUAAACGAUGAGUGCUAAGUGUUAGAGGGUUUCCGCCCUUUAGUGCUGAAGUUAACGCAUUAAGCACUCCGCCUGGGGAGUACGGCCGCAAGGCUGAAACUCAAAGGAAUUGACGGGGGCCCGCCCAAGCGGUGGAGCAUGUGGUUUAAUUNGAAGCAACGGGAAGANCCUUACCAGGUCUUGACAUCUUNUGACAACCCUAGAGAUAGGGNUUUUCCUUCGGGAGCAGAGUGACAGGUGGUGCAUGGUUGUCGUCAGCUCGUGUCGUGAGAUGUUGGGUUAAGUCCCGCAACGAGCGCAACCCUUGAUUUUAGUUGCCAUCAUUAAGUUGGGCACUUUAAGGUGACUGCCGGUGACAAACCGGAGGAAGGUGGGGAGGACGUCAAAUCAUCAUGCCCCUUAUGCCCUGGGCUACACACGUGUUNCAAUGGACGGUACAAAGAGCUGCAAGACCGCGAGGUGGAGCUAAUCUCAUAAAACCGUUUUCAGUUCGGAUUGUAGGCUGCAANUCGCCUACAUGAAGCUGGAAUCGCUAGUAAUCGCGGAUCAGCAUGCCGCGGGGAAUACGUUCCCGGGCCUUGUACACACCGC